rnacentral:lncRNA from 1 species
GUGCUAAAGCGAAAAUUGAUCUGCAUCAUGUGAAAAAUGUUGGGGCAUUUGUAGGUAUUUUUUUUGGCCUUUAAUUUUAUUGAUUUGAAAUCAUCCUUAGUUGCCCACUUUGAGCCUAUUUUAUUAUGCAUUUCCUUGGUACCUUGAUAUAAUUAAAUAUAUUUUUUUUGGUAACCACUUGGAAUUGAAAAUGGAGCAAACUAUUGAAAAUAAAAGAGAAUUGUCAUAUAUUUGAGAUGUUCAUGUAUUUUGUUGAGCUGAAAAUAAAAAUUCCAAAUUUGAGCCGCUCAUGUGUAUUCUAUGUAUAACUAGAAGAAAAAAAUGGCUCCGGUGUUUGUAAUGAAAAAAAAAAAGAAAAAGAGAAUAAAAAAGGAUGAUGAUAGUAAAAGGAGAAAAGAAAUAGCUUGUGUGGAAUAUUGUGAAUACUUCCUUCAAAAGAAAAAAAUUGCAAAAUGAGAAAUUAAGAAAAAAAAAAGUUUUAGGACCACACUCUGUCUGAAAGAAAAAAUGAAAGAAGUAAUAGUUUUGGAAGUAAUAGUUUUGGAGUUAAGCAAAAUUGUGAAAAUAUAUAGGAGCUCCAUUUUUGUUUCAAAGGUUACUAUUUGUUUCUUGUUUUCUUACCCCUUUGAUUAUCCAUUUCUUCUUAUAUCCCACCUUGCAUGAAUUAACCAUGGCCUCGAUACAACCCGUAAGACCUCAACUUUNNNNNNNNGAAACUUGAGUGCUUAUUUGCCUAGUCCCUAAACACUUUAGAGAGAUUGUGAGAAUGUCCUUGUUCAUUUAAAGAUAGUUUUCAUGGACAUUAAAAGUCUCUAAUUGGGCAAAUUUUUGACAUCCCAUAUAGUAUAUAUUGUCUGUCAUUGUUGCUUAUAAUUUUGUUCUCUCAUUUGGCUAUCUCUAUCAUCUCUUUGAAAAAAUGUAUUUGAGCCAGGAAAUUUGCUUGAGGACAAGCAAAGGUUAAGUGUGGGAGAGUUGAUAAACUCUGAUUUAGUGUAUUAUAUGUAGAUAUUUUUUGUGUUAAUUUAAAGUAAUUAUUUAUUAUUAUAUAAGUAACUCACUUGAUUUGCUCUAUAUUAUACAAAAGAGAAGAAAAGAUAAAAAGAUGCAAAUCUAAUUUUUGAAUCACUUAAAAUAAUAUGAUAUACAUU